AUGGAACUCACCUUACAUUUGUGGGGAGAUUUGGACAAUGAUAAUGCUGCUCCUCAAGUUCUAUCUUGGUCAAAAUUCCACAUCCAUAAUCAUCAAACUUGUAUGCAUGCAUUCACCAUAAAUCAACAUCAGACCCUCAUCUUCAAAUGUGUUUAUCUCCCUCAUCACAAACAUGUAAGAGACAAAGUUUAUAUGCAAAAUGAAGGGAAGUUCGUGUUCUUUUAA